rnacentral:rRNA from 1 species
UACGUACCGGACAAACGUUAUUCGGAAUUACUGGGCGUAAAGGGCGCGUAGGCGGGAUGGCAAGUCGGUCGUGAAAUCCCUCGGCUCAACCGAGGAACGUCGAUCGAUACUGCUGUUCUUGAGGAUUGCAGAGGAGACUGGAAUUCCCGGUGUAGCGGUGAAAUGUGUAGAGAUCGGGAGGAACACCGGUGGCGAAGGCGGCAUCCUGGACCGACAUUGACGCUGAGUGAGCGAAAGCUAGGGGAGCAAACGGG